rnacentral:rRNA from 1 species
UACGGAGGGUGCAAGCGUUGUCCGGAAUCACUGGGCGUAAAGCGCGUGUAGGCGGCCCGGUAAGUCCGCUGUGAAAGUCGGGGGCUCAACCCUCGGAUGCCGGUGGAUACUGUCGGGCUUGAGUACGGAAGAGGCGAGUGGAAUUCCUGGUGUAGCGGUGAAAUGCGCAGAUAUCAGGAGGAACACCAAUGGCGAAGGCAGCUCGCUGGGACGUGACUGACGCUGAGACGCGAAAGCGUGGGGAGCAAACAGG